CAUGAGGCAAGAAUAGCUUGGCCUGGCCCACCAACCACAUGGCUCCUACCGCCCUGUCAGCGUUGGGGUGAAUGGAGCGUAGGGGCGGCAGAGUUGGUGGGGUCUGCUGAGUGCUUCUGGCGUAGCAGUUCGGCAGUGCCGAGCUGUUUGAAGUCAUCACAGAUAUAAGCUGCUUGUUGCAGCAACUCACAAUCGCAUUCCUGCCCGUCAUGUCGAACAGCGGAGCGCUAAUUUCAGUUUGAGGUCUGCACUCUUACUACAAUGCAAAUGGUGACAGCAUCAGGCUGCACUCGGUUACAGUCGUGAAUCAUGGACCAAGACUGCACUCUUAGGCCCACUCCUUUUUGGUGGAUCGGGU